rnacentral:rRNA from 1 species
GACAGAGGCCUCGAGCGUUAGGCGGAAUCACUGGGCUUAAAGCGUGUGUAGGCGGGCCCGUAAGUGUCUUGUGAAAUCCCACGGCUCAACCGUGGAACUGCUGGGCAUACUGCGGGUCUUGGGCCAGCUAGGGGCAGCCGGAACAAGCGGUGGAGCGGUGAAAUGCGUAGAUAUCGCUUGGAACGCCGAAGGUGAAAACAGGCUGCUGGGGUUGCGCCGACGCUGAGACACGAAAGCCAGGGGAGCAAACGGG